AGGCGGGAGCGCGCGCCGGCCCCUCAGCGCCCGGCCCGCGCGGGCAGCACGCCAGCGCCCGCCCCUCCACGCGCCCCCGCGAGCCAAGCGCGCUCCCGAGCCAGCUCCGCGCGGGUCUCCGCCCCUCGGCAGCGCGACCGGGGCGCGGCCAGCUUCGUUCCCACCCCGCUGCGUACAUAUAAAGCUGGCGCGCGCGCACCACGCCCUCUCUUUCCCCGCGGAGCGCCGGCAAUGGCGGCACACGGUAAGGCGGCGCGGGAUGCGGUGUCUGCCGCUGCCCCGGCGGGGCGGGGGGAUGGCUUCUUCCUUUUGUUUGGACGUUCGCGAGCAUCGCCCGCAGUGCCGGUCGCGUAGUGCAUGAGGCUGGAGCCGGCAGGUGAAGCCCUCACCCUUGGAGGCGCGAACAGAGCCAGGCGAAAGGCGACCGUAAUCCAGCUAUGGGGCCGCAGCCGCCGCGGAGGUGCAAGGGGACUUGGAGGGGACUACAUAUCUCAGUAUGCCCCGCGGGAGGCGUCCUGCCGGAAGCCGCGUACCGAGGCGCGGGGCAGGCUGGGAGCGGUAGGCGGCGGUGACCCGCGUGGCGCUGCCGGGCGCGCGCCAUUUUGAUCCCCGCCCGGGGCCGGUGAGGGAGCGCUGCCCUGCCGAGCCCCGAGCCGCGGCUGCGGCCGCCCCUGGCACCGUGCGGCGGCCUUCACACCCCUGGGCUCGUGCGUAAAAUGCUGGAUAAGGCAGAACCGCCUUGUUCAUGGGGCAGAGGGUUGGUGCACAUGCACAUGCUUGUGUUACCCGUGCAUCCUUUUGGAGGGUUCAGCCACCGGCAUCAUAGCACUGCUCCACAGCAGAAGACCUACAAAAGUACUGUGAAAUCCAUAUAGCGCCCCAAGGAAAAAAGACCCACAACAUUUAGGUGAUACCUGAUGUAAAUCGUAAGAUUGUGUUCUAACAAAUUAUGUUUCCUUUAUAAUUUUAAGACAAUGACAUAGCUUAGAAAAGAGAGAUUUGUUAUAAAAGUAAACCACCACCCCAAAGUACUGACAGAAGCCUAUUGUGUGCUUAAGAUGCCUUUUUGUCCCCUGUAUGAAAUGCUGAUGUCAUUAAGCCCAAAGCACUUCAAAAAGAACAAGAAAUACUAUAGAAUAUGUCUACAAUUCCGGGCUCUUACCUGCAAGCAAAGAUUAGGAUGGAGGUGGAUUUACAUAGGAAGGCGUCAGGUGUGAUGGAGAGGAGAUGUUCAUUGGUGCCGAGUACGUUGUACAUUAAGCACCUCAUGGAAGGACCAUCACAAGUAGAAGAAUACUUGGGACACACAAGUGGAUUUUCCUGAAAGCUGUAGUGGCAUGAACAGUUUCUAGUAAUGACAAUGUGGCAUGUCCUGAAAAAGGAUUUCCUCACAACAGGAAAUAAAACAGAGAUGCUUGAAUGCUGCGUGUGAUUAGAAGGAAAAAAGAAAACAAGUAGGAACAAGUGCUUUUGGCUUAUUCAGUGAUGAAUUGGAGCACUUUGUCAGAACUGCCUGACAAACGUGGAUGAUGUAACCAGAAGGAAGUGUACCUGAAGAGAAACUGUGACUUGGAGUGGGAUGCCAUGCUUUUAAAAGCCUGCUAAAACAGCUGCCAUUUUGUUCAGUGGAUACUGUCUCUGCAUAUUUAAAACACCAUCUUUCCAAAAUACUGAACUGUCUUCUGUAGGAAGUGUAGCAGUAAUAUCAGGGAAAGGAGCACAUGGAAAACCCCUUGAUUUUUUACCCUUUUAAAAUACCAUAUGGGUACACAGUCUUGCAGAUACUAGAGAUCUGUGAUAACUAAACAGUGGAGCUCACAGGCAGGCCUACCUGUAAGGACAGGGUGAAAGCAAAGAAAAAGACCGUGUCUACAGCUUGCAUCACUGUAUCUAGUGAGGGAGUGAGGAGUUGGGUUUAUGGACAGCCCUUUCAGCAGAAGACUAGUACCACAACAGUGGAACUGCCCUUUGAGGAAUACAUUGUCAACAGUACUUGCUUGCUCUCUAGGGCAAAGAGAUUGGUAGUGGAAAAAGAGAGUUACAAACAUUGGAACUUGGGCUUUUGUCUUUGUUUGAAAAGACAGGUGUCUGCUAAGGAAGGCAGGAGCUUCCCUUGAAAUGGAAAAUCUAAAACUCUUCCCUCUGAAUUGUUAUCAUUUUGGAAUUAAAGGGAAUCUCAGGCAAAGAUAUGGGAGUAGGAAAAAUAGUUCUUUAUUAGGAAAAACAAAAGUAAAAAUGAAAAUGCAGUAAUACAGAACAACAUUGACAGGAUCAGAAUACAACCUGACACCCUGUUGGUCAGGGUGGUGGUAGCUGCAGUCUGAUUAAAUGGCGGCUGCAGUCCUCGUGGAGUGAGAGGUGUGGUUCUGUUGAAGCAGUGAACCUGUGGAAGGCUGUAGUUUUCCUCUCAAGGUCCAGUGGUGAUGUAGAUUGGCCUGGUUUUCCUCUGGGAAUCCAGUGAAGAAGAAAGCUGCUCCUCUAGGAAUCCACUGGGAGGAGACUGACUGGUGUUCCAAAUCUCAGAUUGUACCCAGGUUGGAAUGCUUGCUUCCUUCCUCUGGGCGGAGUAUCUCACAAUGGGAUGAUGUAAUUUCAUCAGUGUGUAGUAAAACUCAAAGGCUCAUUAGCAGAAGAUGUCUUCCUGGACGGAGGGUUGGUAGUGAAAGAGAUAAAGAAAACUGCCCAAUUAACAAGAUAACUGCCCCACCACUAACAGAAUACACACCCCCAGCUAUGUCUUGCAACCCUAAGGCUUUGAAUGGUCACUUGAAAAGAGCUAGUGCUGUAAUGACAGCAGCAGCAAAUUUGUUGUGUUCAGCCAGCUGUCCCUUCCACAGAGGUAUGAAGGAUCAUAAAUUGGUCACCAAGUAAACUUAAAGACAACUCAUGGUGUAUACAUAAGGUAAAAUUUGCCUUAAAGCAUGACUUUCAAGCCUUAUUGUCAGGAAUUCUUUAUAACACCAAAAAACUGACAAUAGCAUAAUUAAAAAUUCAUAGACCUAUUACUGAAUCAUUUUGAAAUAGUCCAAAAUAUAUAAAGCAACCCUAUAGCUCACGGUGUGUACUUGUUCAUCAGUGACAAAUUCCAUGUGAAGUCCCAAUUUUCUAUCAAAGUAGUAUGAAGUAUUAACACUACCAGGAAUACCGUAUAAAGCAUUGGAAAUGUCAAAAAUAAGUAUCCAUCAGGCUGCUGAAGUGGAUGCUAAGUAUCUGACUAAACUCCCAAGAGUACAUUGGCUCGCUGAGCAUCUCCUAUGGUUUGCUAAUUAAUUAAUUAGUGGCCUGCUACGUUGGCUAAAGGCUGCUCCUUUUGAGCAGGGAAUGGUAUGUCAGUCUGUUAAAUAUCAAGAUCUGCAGAAAUAAACUAGAAAAUUAUUUUUUUCUUCACUGCUUUCAAUAAUAUUGUUUCUGUUAACAAAUAUUACUGAGAAUAGUGUGUUUUUUUUCAUGUGCCAUGUUCAGUACAUGCUUUUGAAUAAAGGAUGUUAAAGUCA